rnacentral:lncRNA from 1 species
CGUGUUUAGACGCAAGAAUUCUAGGGAAAACAUUAAAUACUCCAACUAAAAAGAGACUUGCUGUAAAUAACAUGAAAAAAGUCAUACCGAUCUAUCACAAAAUGAUAACUAUAAAACUAACUUCAUCAUGUUUAAGUAAGCUUCAUCACUUUCAUGCUAAUAACCCCCUUCCGUAAACGUUAGGAAUUCAUUCAUUGGGAAUAACUAGUUAUUUCACUGCUUAACUAUUCGUGCAGAAAUAAUUCAUCAUUUUAAAGAUGCUGUCGUAAUCUAG